rnacentral:rRNA from 1 species
AACGAACGCUGGCGGCAUGCCUAACACAUGCGAGUCGAACGAAGGCUUCGGCCUUAGUGGCGCACGGGUGCGUAACGCGUGGGAAUCUGCCCUUGGGUUCGGAAUAACGUCGGGAAACUGACGCUAAUACCGGAUGAUGACGUAAGUCCAAAGAUUUAUCGCCCAAGGAUGAGCCCGCGUCGGAUUAGCUAGUUGGUGAGGUAAAAGCUCACCAAGGCGACGAUCCGUAGCUGGUCUGAGAGGAUGAUCAGCCACACUGGGACUGAGACACGGCCCAGACUCCUACGGGAGGCAGCAGUGGGGAAUAUUGGACAAUGGGCGAAAGCCUGAUCCAGCAAUGCCGCGUGAGUGAUGAAGGCCGUAGGGUUGUAAAGCUCUUUUACCCGGGAUGAUAAUGACCGUACCGGGAGAAUAAGCACCGGCUAACUCCGUG